rnacentral:rRNA from 1 species
GAGGGAAAGUUGAAAAGUACUUUGAAGAGAGAGUAAACAGUGCGUGAAACCGCUCAGAGGUAAACGGGUGGAGUUGAACUGUAAGCUCCGGGGAUUCAGCUGGUGAGUGUGUCAUGGGCUUGGUCAUUUUCGGCCGGCCUCUCAGAGUCCGCUUAGCUGCGGGUCCUUGCUGCUUCGGUUGUAAGGAUGUGCGUUGCACUUGUCAAGUGCUGUACGCUCUGGAGGUUGCCGGGCUGGCUCGCCAGUGCACUUUCUCGGAGUGGUCACCACGACCGGCGCUGUUGCCUUGCUGCUGUGGUCGAACCGGUCAGGUUUGGUCCUUGUGGCUGAACUUGAUCGGGAUGGCAGGUAGCUCAUUGGUUGGCUUGUCCAGCCUUUGGGUGUAAUUAGCUGUCCGCAGUGGUUAUGUGCAAUGCGUCGGAGACGGCGGCUUUAGGCGUUUGCUUAUGUGCCAUUGGCUGGUAGUACCGGGUUUGACUAGCGUGUUUACCUGCUUCGGUGGGUCCGUUGGUAGCUCGGUGCUGUUCGGUUAGUGGUUGCAUUUGUGAUGCCGUUCAUGGGCCCAUAGUCUGUGGUGUAGCAGCAAACGAUCCACCUGACCCGUCUUGAAACACGGACCAAGGAGUUUAACAUGUGCGCGAGUCAUUGGGCGUUACGAAACCCAAAGGCGCAGUGAAAGUAAAGGUUCGGCUUGUCCGAGCUGAGGUGAGAUCCUGUGGCUUCUCGUGCGAGGUACCACCAAGCAAGUGAGCUAUAGGCGCAUCACCAGCCCGUCUCAUGGUGUAGUCAUGCGACCUCGUGUUGUGUGCAUCACCGGGGCGGAGCCUGAGCGCACACGUUGAGACCCGAAAGAUGGUGAACUAUGCUUGCGAAGGUUGAAGCCAGAGGAAACUCUGGUGGAGGACCGCAGCGAUUCUGACGUGCAAAUCGAUCGUCUAACGUGAGUAUAGGGGCGAAAGACUAAUCGAACCAUCUAGUAGCUGGUUCCCUCCGAAGUUUCCCUCAGGAUAGCUG